CCUACGGGAGGCAGCAGUGGGGGAUAUUGCACAAUGGGGGAAACCCUGAUGCAGCGACGCCGCGUGGGUGAAGAAGCGCCUCGGCGCGUAAAGCCCUGUCAGCAGGGAAGAAAAUGACGGUACCUGAAGAAGAAGCCCCGGCUAACAACGGGCCAGCAGCCGCGGUAGUACGUAGGGGGCAAGCGUUAUCCGGAUUUACUGGGUGUAAAGGGGGCGCAGACGGCGAGGCAAGCCAGGAGUGAAAGCCCGGGGCCAAACCCCGGGACUGCACUUGGAACUGCGUGGGUGGAGUGCAGGAGGGGCAGGGGGAGUUCCUGGUGUGGCGGUGAAUGCGUAGAUAUCAGGAGGAACACCGGUGGCGAAGGCGGCCGGCUGGACUGCAACUGACGUUGAGGCGCGAAAGCGUGGGGAGCAAACAGGAUUAGAUACCCGGGUAGUC
rnacentral:rRNA from 1 species